UCCAACCGGGAUUACACCCAGCGGUGUUUGGACUACUGGUCCAAAUACUUCUCUUUUCAAUAGAGAUUGUAGCUCAGUUUGAAUAGCAUCUUUCCAUUUUGGCCAAUCUUUUCUUUUCCGACAUUCUUCCACGUUUUGUGGUUCAGGAUCCGUGUCAGGAAUCAAAGUAAUAUCUGAUGCUAUAGAGAAAGCAAAUAUAUCGUCAAUCAUGACUUUGCUUCGAUCCCAUAUUUUCUCAUCAUGUACAUAAUUUAUUGAGAUCUCUUGGUGUUCAUCUCUUAUCCCUUCACUGAGAUUUUGAACCUCUUCUGGGGCUAUUCCCACUCUUGGAAUAUGUGCUACUUCUGGAGCGGUUUGUACCUCUUCUGGAGCUAUUCCCACUCUUGGAAUAAGUGCUACUUCUGGAGCGGGUAUUCCUUCUGGGAUUCCCUUAUUUGCUUUUGAUUUUCGUGGUACAGUGUCUUUUGCACCAACCGGUCUUCCACGCUUCUGGCGUGGUUUAGAUUCUUCUAUUACCUUAUUCGUCAAUUCUCCAGGAAUUGAUUUUUCAAUAGGUAUUUCUAUCCUUGCUGGAGUAUUCACUGCAGGUGUAUGUGACUUUAUCACUUUUCUAGCAUCAUUAAAUGCAUCUGGC
rnacentral:lncRNA from 1 species